GGCUCUGUGGCACAAUGGAUAGCGCAUUGGACUUCUAAUUCAAAGGUUGUGGGUUCGAGUCCCACCAGAGUCA
rnacentral:tRNA from 1 species